GGCUGAAAUUCGCCUUCAUGAAGCUGGAAUUGCUAGUAAUGGCAGGUCAGCAUACUGCCGUGAAUACGUUCCCGGGCCUUGUACACACCGCCCGUCACACCAUGAGAGUUGGAAAUACCCGAAGCCUGUGAGCUAACUGUAAAGAGGCAGCAGUCGAAGGUAGAGCCAAUGAUUGGGGUGAAGUCGUAACAAGGUAUC
rnacentral:rRNA from 1 species